AUACAACUAUUCAUUAAUAUUAUGCCAUAUGUCAAAGAGAUAUAUUAGGUAACAUUUCAAAAUUCAAAUUUAUUUUUUUCUAAUUAUUAUUUGUUAUGUUUGAAGUUAUAAUAACUUUAAAAUUUUGGUAUAUCUCUUAAUUAAUGAUUUACCUAAAAUAAUUGACAAAUAAUUUUAGAAUUUUUACUAUGAAAAUAUAAUUUAUUAUGCAACUGUGGUUCCCACGGGUUAUAAACUAGUAUGUAUAUAUAUAUAUAUAAGGACCAACCCUAUAAAUUAUCUCAAACCAUCAGGACCAUUCGUGUAAUUUACUUCCAUCUGCAUUCGUAUAAUUUACUUCCUCAUAUUAUAGGUAAUAUGAGGAAGUUAUAAUUUAUUCUACCAUUUAUAUAUACCUUUUCUACAAAAACACAAGUCUACAUUUAUAACAUCAAUCAACCUAUGAACUAUAAAAUAGUAAUAACAUAAGGGUAACAACUUUAGCAUAUUCUACAAACUUACUUCCAUCUGCACUCGAAGAUACAUCUACUUAUCUAGAAAAAGAUAAGUCUUACACAUAAUUUUCAACUCUUUACACCGGAAUGCAGAAAAUAUAUCUAGAAAUAGAAUUUGCACCUAUCAUCCUAUAAUCUUUAUAAUAUAAAUUGAAAUUAAUAAAAACUAAGAUUUGAUCAUCAAACUAAAUGAAAGAUCUUGAAGAGCAUUUGCCUGCGUAGCAUUUUAUUUAAAUAGUAAAAUAGAUUUGUCCACGACAGAAUCAACAUUUGCUUUUAGGCAAAAAAAAAAAAAUUAUAAAAAAAUUUCUAAAAGAGAUUUAAAAAAACAGAAAUGAGACUACAAUCUAAAAUUUAAGUCAAAUUUUAGCAAUUUAAAAAUUAAAAUGCCAAUGUACUUAAAGAUCAUGGAGUUUAAAGCACGAGCUAUGGCUCAAAAUCAAACAGAAAACAAAUUUCAACAAUCAGAGCUGUUAAGCAUAAAAUAGGAGGAAACAUUCAUGUAAGGCUCAGAUCUGCAACAAUCGAACAAAGAGGAUGAAUCCGCCAUGGCUGCAAACUUACUGGUUGCAAUGUAAAAGAACACAAAGAUUCUUUCACAUAACCAUCCAGGUUGCCCCACCAAGAUGCAGAUAACCUCAACUUUGCUCGAAUCCACUCAGACAGAUUAAAACAUAUCAAUCAUCACAGCCUCUGAAAAUUCAUCAAACCUUAUCGCUGGAGUCGAAAUUGAAGGUUCGAGUAUAGUAAUGGGUUGAAGAUGAUCUGAAGGGAUAAUGACAUCAACAGGGUGUUUGAGCUUUGCUUAUUUAGAACAGCCUGUAAGUUGUAACCAACAUUACAAUAAAAACUGCAAAUUUGACAAACCACAUAGGGACGAUUCGUGUAAUUUACUCUGAUAAAAGGGGUUGUUGAAUUCUGAAGAAAAUCAUCGGCCACGAGGAUGGAGUUUGACUAAAUAAAGUCAAAAUCGAACUUCCAUUUGAACAGAGGAGGGCAACAACCCUAGAAAUCCUUUUUCAUAAUCCCCUCUGAGAUCGCCUCAUUUCGUCUGAGUGGAAAUUCGUUACAUUACAAACCCUGAUUUUUGGGGCGUAUAAUGCUAUUGUAGGUUGUGGCGAUUAUACCAUUUAGCUUGGGUAUUUGAGUGUAAAAUUA
rnacentral:lncRNA from 1 species